rnacentral:rRNA from 1 species
UUUUUCCUACGGGAGGCAGCAGUGGGGAAUAUUGCACAAUGGGGGGAACCCUGAUGCAGCGACGCCGCGUGAAGGAAGAAGUAUUUCGGUAUGUAAACUUCUAUCCGCAGGGAAGAAAAUGACGGUACCUGACUAAGAAGCCCCGGCUAACUACGUGCCAGCAGCCGCGGUAAUACGUAGGGGGCAAGCGUUAUCCGGAUUUACUGGGUGUAAAGGGAGCGUAGGCGGUGCAGCAAGUCAGAAGUGAAAGCCCGGGGCUCAACUCCGGGACUGCUUUUGAAACUGUUGAACUAGAUUGCAGGAGG